GGCUGCAGCUGAGCUGGAGGCCUGCUCUGGCAAGCACUGGUGGCCACCAUCGCCCCUGGAUUUGCUUGUCUGGUUCACUGAUGGCUGGGCCCUGGGCAGAACCCUGAGAGCCUGGUGUGGCCCCAAGGAAGGAGAAGGAGCCCCUGGAGAAGCUGUAGCAGGUGGGGCUGCUGCUGCUGGAGACACCAAGGAUGAGCUCAAGGAUGACAACCUCUUCCUGGAGCUGGCCAGCGGCAGCUGAAGAUGAUGGCCUUUGAUUCUGGCACCUUCUCCAAAGACACGCUCCACGCCCAGUGUGCAGCCGGGCUCUGCCGAUGCUGAGGCUGCUCCGGGCUCUGCCAGGGCUCUGCUGGGGCUCAGCCCCGGGCACAGCUGGGCCCACUCUCCCCUCACAGGGCUCUGACAGCUUUGCAUCAGACGAGCCCCUUGCGAGCACAGCGACGGAGCUUUCUGCUUUUGGAGCCUCCCCUCUCCGUGUGCCAGAAGGAAUUGGAUGAACUGUAUUCUUCUCUCCGAGUCGUCUCGUUCAGCAUGGGCAGCUCAGCACCAGGAG